CUACAGAUAAAAAUCUUGAAAUGUAAAUUAUCAUUCAUUAGCCAAGUGUUUGAAAACAGACGACUUCUAGAUUGGGUUGCACAAGGUGAAACCUACUGGGAGAAUGGCGCUUCCUUGAAGAAGGCCUUGUUUCAGAUACAGAAUCACUCUGAGUGUGUCUACUUGGAUGGUUUCACUAUUUCUACAUCAGCAUGCCCUUUGCCCAGGUGCUUGAUCUGUCUGAAACUUCAUAUUAACAGUUAAACAUCCAUUGUACAGUGGGCCUGCUGUCUCAGACCUUCUGGAAGCCUAAAUAGGACAGAAGAGGAUUUGUGUCAACUGCCAAAAUGUGCUUCUAGGUCUUUGAUGCUUUGGAUUUGAGGAUCCGAACCUGACUCCCUUCUGAUCACUACAUUCAUGAAGAGUGAACUUGGAUAAAACUGGAGAAGUGCAGUGGUGGUGCAGUUGGAUCUGCAUGCAGCAAUCCAGCACCACACAUCAUCUUUCCUGCCCUGAGACUGUUACAACAGAUAGAGCCCAGAGUCAUGAACUAAAAUGACCAAGGGAAUAACCAUAGAAUCAUAGAAUCAGCAAGAUUGGGAAAGACCUUUAAGACCAUCAAGUCCAACCAUUACCCCAGGACUGCCAAGACCACCACUGAAUCAUAUCAUUGAGGGGCCUCAUCUACAUGCUCUGUAGAUAUACCUAUGUACAUACCUAUUAAAAGACAGGAAAGAUGAUGGUGGUUAACUGGAAUAUAUUGGAAAGCGUGGGACCUGGUCAUGACAUAAAUUAUGUAGAGUAAGUGUUGUAUACUGCCUGGCACCACCCACCUGGUGCAAAAAUUCUACUGCUGGUGGACAGAGGGUAAUGUUUACUGGUCACAAAGUGCAGGACUAGGACAUGACAGCUGCCACUUUGCUGGUGCCCCUCUGCUGAAGCUUCCCAUGCAGUGUUGGCACAAUCCUUUGGCUGCUCCAUUCCUGGAGUGGGUGUGAGGAGUCUACUUUAACUUCUCAUAGUUGUCCUGCAUUGGAAAAAUCCCUAGCAGACAGGUGGGGCCAAUAGCUGGAGGCAGUAACUUCUCUUGCAUUAUUUAGU
rnacentral:lncRNA from 14 species